CGUGAUUGUUACACAAGUUAUCUGUUUGAUUGCUGUAUUUUAGGAGUGAUUGAACAAAAAUGUCGUAACAAUUAACGGCAGGCAAAUUCGCUUUGGGACAUUGUGCUAUCACGAUACUCAAUCAAUCAAUAAAUUUUACUUUCUGUAUUUUACAGCUAUGCAAUUUACUGCAACUAAUUACUUUCCAACACACUAUUGCUAGGGUAGGAAUUCAGCUUCGAGUCUUGAUUUUUGAUCGAACGGAGUCUGGGAAUUCAGCUUGAGUCCUCAAAUUUACAAAAAUAAUGUCCCAGCUAGAAGUUAUUUUCCCAUGGGGAUUUUGGCGUCAAAGCUAUCUUCCAAUUUAAAGAAGGUCUUCAUUUGUUGAUUCUUCAUACUAUGCUUCGCAAAAUAGGACGAAUCUGAUCAAAGACGUAGAUCCCUUUCAUUCACCAUACAAGCUCCAAUUAGCUCAGCUAAUACCUCAAUCUUAUGUGGAAAAUUUACUCCAUUACCUACAACCAGUGCCUAACGGAAGAAUUAGAUUACCUUUUUGUGUUAGAGUGCCUCAUGGGGUGUUGAAGCUUUGCAGUAGCAUCGAUGGUGAUUACCUUCAGCCAACGGGUUUUGUUGGCGGUGAUUUUCUGGUGAAGGCAAUGAGUGAUUUUGAUUUUGGGGUGCGGUGUGGUGGCCGGGGUGGGUUGGGCAGUGGGAGUGGUUAGAAGAUUGUGGAUAGGGGGUGAAGAUGACUUUUUAGUUUUCCUUUUCCUUUUU
rnacentral:lncRNA from 1 species